GAUGAACGCUGGCGGCGUGCCUAAUACAUGCAAGUCGAGCGAACGGACGAGAAGCUUGCUUCUCUGAUGUUAGCGGCGGACGGGUGAGUAACACGUGGAUAACCUACCUAUAAGACUGGGAUAACUUCGGGAAACCGGAGCUAAUACCGGAUAAUAUUUUGAACCGCAUGGUUCAAAAGUGAAAGACGGUCUUGCUGUCACUUAUAGAUGGAUCCGCGCUGCAUUAGCUAGUUGGUAAGGUAACGGCUUACCAAGGCAACGAUGCAUAGCCGACCUGAGAGGGUGAUCGGCCACACUGGAACUGAGAAACGGUCCAGACUCCUACGGGAGGCAGCAGGAGGGAAUCUUCCGCAAUGGGCGAAAGCCUGACGGAGCAACGCCGCGUGAGUGAUGAAGGUCUUCGGAUCGUAAAACUCUGUUAUUAGGGAAGAACAUAUGUGUAAGUAACUGUGCACAUCUUGACGGUACCUAAGCAGAAAGCCACGGCUAACUACGU
rnacentral:rRNA from 1 species